rnacentral:rRNA from 1 species
AUUGAACGCUGGCGGCAGGCCUAACACAUGCAAGUCGAACGCGUGGCGGACGGGUGAGUAAUGUCUGGGAAACUGCCUGAUGGAGGGGGAUAACUACUGGAAACGGUAGCUACUACCGCAUCCCAUCAAAUGUGGCCAGAGGGGAUUAGCUAGUUGGUGGGGUUACGUCUCACCAAGGCGACGAUCCCUAGCUGUUCUGAGAGGCUGACCAGCCACACUGGAACUGAGACACGGUCCAGACUCCUACGGGAGGCAGCAGUGGGGAAUAGUGCACAAUGGGCGCAAGCCUGAUGCAGCCAUGCCGCGUGUAUGAAGAAGGCCUUCGGGUUGUAAAGUACUUUCAGCGGGGAGGCGUUACCCGCAGAAGAAGCACCGGCUAACUCCGUGCCAGCAGCCGCGGUAAUUC